rnacentral:lncRNA from 1 species
GAUAGAAGAAACUAUUAGAUAGAUAAGGAGUUAACGGAUGCUUUUUUCUCAUCAAACAGCGAAAAAUUCAAAUACCGGAACUCCCUCGGCACUUCCUUCGUCUGCUUUCUUCCGCCAGUACUCUUCUUGCUCCUAUUUUACUAUUCGAUUCUCUUUUCGCCUGCCUAAACUCACCGACCUUGCUUGGAUAUUCCUUUGACGUAUGUGAAUUAGGCCCUUGCUUGGCUGGUCGGGCGACCGGUUAGCAGUAGAUCCUUUCCAUCCGUGAGAGGUCCUUACUUACGUAUGUUAUUGAAUUCAUUACAGAACCAGUCUUUCGAAAUUUGUAGACAAUUCUUUUAU